rnacentral:lncRNA from 1 species
CCUCAGUGAGAUAUAUAUAUAUAUAAGAUAAUGAGUGAUCUGAGAGAACCUAGGAGGAUCAAAAGGUAUGCUAACUUUCUUUCAACAAUAUACAAAAACUCCAAGUGAUAGGAUUGAGAAGAAAGGAUCUUUACUCUUGAUCAUAAACUUCCCUGACUAUGGUACACAGUGGAUUUUUAACACCCUGCAAUUAUAUAGAGAAUGCUUUAAAAUGUUUACCCC